UUUACCCUACGGGAGGCAGCAGUGAGGAAUAUUGGUCAAUGGACGCAAGUCUGAACCAGCCAUGCCGCGUGCAGGAUGACGGCUCUAUGAGUUGUAAACUGCUUUUGUACGAGGGUAAACCCCGAUACGUGUAUCGGGUUGAAAGUAUCGUACGAAUAAGGAUCGGCUAACUCCGUGCCAGCAGCCGCGGUAAUACGGAGGAUCCGAGCGUUAUCCGGAUUUAUUGGGUUUAAAGGGUGCGCAGGCGGAGGUGCAAGUCAGCGGUCAAAUUGCGGGGCUCAACCCCGUACUGCCGUUGAAACUGC
rnacentral:rRNA from 1 species